GGAGCUGUGCCUGAAUGCCAAAGGACCACUUUGAUAGAGUGAGACAUGGGAGUUAAAACCCCCCCAGCUCCU
rnacentral:tRNA from 1 species